rnacentral:tRNA from 1 species
GUGAUCGGGCACUCCCAGGGCGAGGUCGCGGCCGCGUGCGUCGCCGGUGGCCUCUCCCUGGAGGACGGCGCCCGGAUCGUGGCCGUGCGGUCGCG